GACGAACGCUGGCGGCGUGCUUAACACAUGCAAGUCACGGGGGCCCGCAAGGGCAACCGGCGAACGGGUGCGUAACACGUGAGCAACCUGCCUAUCUGCGGGGGAUAGCCGGCCCAACGGCCGGGUAAUACCGCAUACGUUCACCGAGGGACAUCCCUUGGUGAGGAAACCUCCGGGGCAGAUAGAGGGGCCCGCGGCCUAUCAGCUAGUUGGUGAGGUAACGGCUCACCAAGGCGACGACGGGUAGCAGGUCUGAGAGGACGAUCAGCCACACUGGGACUGAGACACGGCCCAGACUCCUACGGGAGGCAGCAGUGGGGAAUCUUGCACAAUGCGCGAAAGCGUGAUGCAGCAACGCCGCGUGGGGGAAGAAGGCCUUCGGGUUGUAAACCCCUUUCAGUUGGGACGAAGCUUCGACGGUUAAUAGCCGGCUGGAGUGACGGUACCUUCAGAAGAAGCCCCGGCUAACUACGUGCCAGCCGCCGCAGUAA
rnacentral:rRNA from 1 species